AUUGAACGCUGGCGGCAGGCCUAACACAUGCAAGUCGAACGAGUGGCGGAAGGGUGAGUAAUGACUGGGAAACUGCCUGAUGGAGGGGGAUAACUACUGGAAACGGUAGCUAAUACCGCAUACAAUCGGAUGGGCCCAGAUGGGAUGAGCUAGUAGGUGGGGUAACGGCUUACCUAGGCGACGAUCCCUAGUUGGUCUGAGAGGAUGACCAGCCACACUGGAACUGAGACACGGUCCAGACGCCGACGGGAGGCAGCAGUGGGGAAUAUUGCACAAUGGGCGCAAUCCUGAUUCAGCCAUGCCGCGUGUAUGAAGAAGGCCUUCGGGUUUUAAAGUACUUUCAGCGGGGAGGCGUUACCCGCAGAAGAAGCACCGGCUAACGCCGUGCCAGCAGCCGCGGUAAUUC
rnacentral:rRNA from 1 species